rnacentral:misc_RNA from 1 species
GAUGAAGAACGUAGCGAAAUGCGAUAAGUAGUGUGAAUUGCAGAAUUCAGUGAAUCAUCGAAUCUUUGAACGCACAUUGCGCCCUUUGGUAUUCCUUAGGGCAUGCCUGUUCGAGCGUCAUUUGAAACCUCAAGCUCAGCUUGGUGUUGGGUGUCUGUCCCCGCCUCACCGCGGGGACUCGCCUCAAAAUCAUUGGCGGCCGGUACGUUGGCUUCGAGCGCAGCAGAAACGCGAACUCGAGGCCCGGCGGAUCGGCGACCAGAAGUCACUUCUUCACAGUUUGACCUCGGAUCAGGUAGGGAUACCCGCUGAACUUAAGCAUAUCAAUAAGUGGAGGA